rfam:Morganella morganii subsp. morganii KT, complete genome.
GCGUCCAUAGCUCAGUUGGUUAGAGCACCACCUUGACAUGGUGGGGGUCGGUGGUUCGAGUCCACUUGGACGCA